rnacentral:rRNA from 1 species
UACGUAGGGUGCAAGCGUUGUCCGGAAUCAUUGGGCGUAAAGAGCGUGUAGGCGGCCCGGUAAGUCCGCUGUGAAAGUCGGGGGCUCAACCCUCGAAUGCCGGUGGAUACUGUCGGGCUAGAGUGCGGAAGAGGCGAGUGGAAUUCCUGGUGUAGCGGUGAAAUGCGCAGAUAUCAGGAGGAACACCGAUUGCGAAGGCAGCUCGCUGGGACGUUACUGACGCUGAGACGCGAAAGCGUGGGGAGCAAACAGG